AGUGAACGCUGGCGGUAGGCCUAACACAUGCAAGUCGAACGGCAGCACAGUAAGAGCUUGCUCUUACGGGUGGCGAGUGGCGGACGGGUGAGGAAUACAUCGGAAUCUACUUUUUCGUGGGGGAUAACGUAGGGAAACUUACGCUAAUACCGCAUACGACCUACGGGUGAAAGCAGGGGAUCUUCGGACCUUGCGCGAUUGAAUGAGCCGAUGUCGGAUUAGCUAGUUGGCGGGGUAAAGGCCCACCAAGGCGACGAUCCGUAGCUGGUCUGAGAGGAUGAUCAGCCACACUGGAACUGAGACACGGUCCAGACGCCUACGGGAGGCAGCAGUGGGGAAUAUUGGACAAUGGGCGCAAGCCUGAUCCAGCCAUACCGCGUGGGUGAAGAAGGCCUUCGGGUUGUAAAGCCAUUUUGUUGGGAAAGAAAAGCAGCAGGUUAAUACCCCGCUGUUCUGACGGUACCCAAAGAAUAAGCACCGGCUAACUUCGU
rnacentral:rRNA from 1 species